rnacentral:rRNA from 1 species
UCCGCAGGUGGCCAUUCAAGUCUGCAGUCAAAGGUCGGGGCUCAACCCCGAAAAGGCUGUGGAAACCGAAAGGCUAGAGUACGGUAGGGGCAGAGGGAAUUCCCAGUGUAGCGGUGAAAUGCGUAGAGAUUGGGAAGAACACCGGUGGCGAAAGCGCUCUGCUAGGCCGAAACUGACACUGAGGGACGAAAGCUAGGGGAGCGAAAG